rnacentral:rRNA from 1 species
AUUGAACGCUGGCGGCAUGCCUUACACAUGCAAGUCGAACGGUAACGGGCCUUCGGGUGCCGACGAGUGGCGAACGGGUGAGUAAUACAUCGGAACGUGCCCGAUCGUGGGGGAUAACGAGGCGAAAGCUUUGCUAAUACCUCAUACGAUCUACGGAUGAAAGCAGGGGACCGCAAGGCCUUGCGCGGACGGAGCGGCCGAUGGCGGAUUAGGUAGUUGGUGGGGUAAAAGCUUACCAAGCCGACGAUCUGUAGCUGGUCUGAGAGGAUGAUCAGCCACACUGGGACUGAGACACGGCCCAGACUCCUACGGGAGGCAGCAGUGGGGAAUUUUGGGCAAUGGGCGCAAGCCUGAUCCAGCCAUGCCGCGUGCAGGAUGAAGGCCUUCGGGUUGUAAACUGCUUUUGUACGGAACGAAAAGCCUUCUUUUAAUACAGGAGGGUCAUGACGGUACCGUAAGAAUAAGCACCGGCUAACUACGUG